rnacentral:rRNA from 1 species
UACGUAGGGUGCGAGCGUUGUCCGGAAUUACUGGGCGUAAAGAGCUCGUAGGUGGUUUGUCGCGUUGUUCGUGAAAACUCACAACUCAAUUGUGGGCGUGCGGGCGAUACGGGCAGACUGGAGUACUGCAGGGGAGACUGGAAUUCCUGGUGUAGCGGUGAAAUGCGCAGAUAUCAGGAGGAACACCGGUGGCGAAGGCGGUUCUCUGGGCAUUACCUGACGCUGAGGAGCGAAAGUGUGGGGAGCGAACAGG